GAUGAACGCUGGCGGCGUGCCUAACACAUGCAAGUCGAGCGAAAAGACGAGGCGCUUGCCUCCCUGACGUUAGCGGCGCACGGGUGAGUAACACGUGGAUAACAUACCUAUAAGACUGGGAUUACUUAGGGAAAACGGAGCUAAUACCGGCUAAUCUAUUGAACCGCAUGGUUCAAUAGUGAAAGACGGUUUUGCUUCCACUUAUAGCUGGUUCCGCGCCGCAUUAGCUAGUUGGUCAGGUAACGGCUUACCAAGGCAACGAUGCGUAGCCGACCUGAGAGGGUGAUCGGCCACACUGGAACUGAGACACGGUCCAGACUCCUACGGGAGGCAGCAGUAGGGAAUCUUCCGCAAUGGGCGAAAGCCUGACGGAGCAACGCCGCGUGAGUGAUGAAGGUCUUCGGAUCGUAAAACUCUGUUAUUGGGGAAGAACAAAGGUGUAAGUAACUAUGCACGUCUUGACGGUACCUAAUCAGAAAGCCACGGCUAACUACGUG
rnacentral:rRNA from 1 species